rnacentral:rRNA from 1 species
CAUUACUGACACUGAGGAACGAAAGCAUGGGUAGCGAAGAGGAUUAGAUACCCUUUUAGUCCAUGCCGUAAACGAUGUGUGUUAGACGUUGGAAAUUUAUUUUCAGUGUCGCAGCGAAAGCGAUAAACACACCGCCUGGGGAGUACGACCGCAAGGUUAAAACUCAAAUGAAUUGACGGGGACCCGCACAAGUAGUGGAGCAUGUGGUUUAAUUCGAAGAUACGCGCAGAACCUUACCAACACUUGACAUGUUCGUCGCAACUCUAAGAGAUUAGAGUUUUCGGUUCGGCCGGACGAAACACAGGUGCUGCAUGGCUGUCGUCAGCUCGUGUCGUGAGAUGUUGGGUUAAGUCCCGCAACGAGCGCAACCCUCACUUUUAGUUGCCAUCAUUUAGUUGGGCACUCUGAAAGAACUGCCAGUGAUAAGCUGGAGGAAGGUGGGGAUGACGUCAAGUCCUCAUGGCCCUUACGUGUUGGGCUACACACGUGCUACAAUGGUAUCUACAACAGGAAGCAAGACUGCGAGGUCAAGCAAAUCCUUAAAAGAUACCUCAGUUCGGAUUGCACUCUGCAACUCGAGUGCAUGAAGCUGGAAUUACUAGUAAUCGUGGAUCAGCGUGCCACGGUGAAUGCGUUCCCGGGUCUUGUACACACCGCCCGUCACACCAUGGGAGUUGGUUCUACCUUAAGGCAAGGUUUAAAACCCUUGACCACGGUAUAGUCAGCGACUGGGGUGAAGUCGUAACAAGGUAGCCGUAGGGGAACCUGCGGCUG